rnacentral:sRNA from 2 species
AAUCACCGCUAUUGCAGGGGUGCCGGGCGGCGAGGCCAUCGCGGGUGCGGCUGCGAUCGUCGUGCGGGUGCGCCAAAAAAAAUCCGAUUACAGCCUGUCGGAACGGACGCCGCCCAGACGUCCUCGAA